rnacentral:lncRNA from 1 species
GAGCUGAUUUCAAACUUCUUCCUUCUUUUGACCCUAUAAUCCCUAAACGGCUUCUGAUCUCCUUGGCUGCUGACUGAAUGCAGUCAUUCUUCUUGUUAGCAACACGAGCGCCUGUCCAAGGGAUCCUGAUCGAAUACCUUCCCAACGUCCGUGGCAUCAAACGGGCAAGUUCUAUCAUCAUCAAUUACAAUUGCCCUCCUAUAUCUAUGUCCACAUGUGUAAGCAAGAACACAUCCGGCUUUAGAUUUAGCUUGUUCGGCUCAGGGAUAUGGAGGAUACCUCCCACCCUAUAGAAACCAGAAUGUCGCGCUUCUUCUGAUUGAACAUUGAGACGCUGCUAUGAAUCAGUUUAACAGAACUUCUUGAUGUUGCCCCAGUGCCUCCUUCCAGAUGCAUCUCCCUGUGCAAAAAUUGAUCCUCAGUACUAAUUGAUAAUCACAGAAAGGACAACAUGGCACCAUCGUGCACGCCGUGCUUGCCCCUAAUCUGUUCAAUAUGUGCAUCCUAUCUUGUCGAUGGCGCAGCGGCGUACCUGUCUUGCGGUCGCGGACGUGGAUGGAGACGGAGCACGCGGCACACCAGGAACACGACCUUCUUGCGCCACCAUGCCAUCACCACGCGCACGGACGCCGGUAUCC